AUGUUGGAUAGUAAUUAUAAUACAAUAUGGCGAAGCAAUUGACAGAAUUAGAGAAGAUCAUUUAAACUUUUAUCAAUAGCUGUGAGAUGGCAAAAGAUAAAAAAAUAACAUUGAUUGAUGCGGAGAUUAAUAUUUUAUAUGAAAUAAUAGUAAAUGAAGAAGAUGCAGAAAAAGUGAUAUGGUAUUUGCUCAAAUUUUACAUUACAAGCAAAAAGAUAUGCUCAACAGGAAUCAAUACCAAAACAAACAAUAGGUAUUCUUUUUUACUUUCCUAUAUUGCAGAUUUUAUCAAAAACUUGGAAAGAACUUAAUCAUGCAUUAAUAAUAACGAUUGUUUUUGGAAAAUUUGUGAACACUACUGAGAAAUAAUCAAUAAUAUCGCACAACUGGAAUCGUGCAGAAACAUUUUUAUUAAUUACAAUUUAUAAGAAAAUGGAAAGUGAUUUUACAUUAGAAAAAAUGACACAAAAACAGUGUUGGAAUAAAGUUGCACAAAUGAUGCAAGCAAAAGGUGUAAAUGCACAAAAAUGUUGCACAAAAUACCAAACGUUAAAACGAACCUACCGUAUGAUAAAUGAUCAUAAUCGUAACUCUGGUUAUAGAUGAAAGUGUAAAAGCAAACCAUGGAUGGAUCCAUUGGCUGACUCAAAUAUUGAAACGUCUGAAGUGUCUGAAGAUGAAAAGGAAAAUAGAAAAGAAAAAAAUUCAAAGAGAAGAAUUAAUCAUAUUUUACAAGAAUAUAUCAAAAAUUGCUUUAAUGAAAAAAAAAAUUGAAAUGUGAACCUGUAGAAAAGAGAUAUUCAGAAAAAAUGCAAAUUCUGAAUUAGAUGGAAAAUUUGUUGCAAAAGAUAGUUAACAAUCAAAACAAUUGAUAUUACUGAAAACUGAUUAUACAUUUAAAAUUGUUAAAACUAUGAUUAUACAUUUAAGACUGUUAAAACUGUGAUUAUUAAUUCAGUUUUGUUGUUUAAUUAAAAUACUUUUUUUAUUUAUAU